AAAGUUCUAGACCAUUUCAUAAGACUCUUGAACAACCUAGAACGUUUCGGAAGCCUCUAGGGCUUGCUACAUACUUCUAGCAAUAUUUGUUGUAGCUUCCAUGGUUUAGGCAAGCCUCCAUGGCUUGCUACUUGUUUGGGGGAUUGAGGUAUGGGUCUAUUGGGGUCCUGAUUUUUCUAUUGAGACACUAUAUAUGGUACUGCAUGAAUGACCGGCCAGUGACGGACGGGCACGAUCACGCGUGGACAGAGUGCGAUUCGUGUCACUAGGAAGGUGUCAAAGUUCGGUUGUUAGUGUUAAAUAGUAUGCUUCUUGCCUAAAGCACUCUCCAGAGACCAUUUUAAUUUGGAGAGGUUGCAAGUUACUAGUGUAGGAAGGUGUCAAAGGCUUGCUGCAAAGUUUCUUAUCAAUCAAUAUAAUAUUGUAGUGUUUUGCAUAUUUUUUUUUGUCCCUAGUCAUUAAAAAUCCUGCACUUAUUUGCUCUUUUUAUCUGUCGCUAUAUACUCCUGCU
rnacentral:lncRNA from 1 species